rnacentral:misc_RNA from 1 species
GUAUUUUCACUUGCUCAAACUCAUUUGUAUUUGCCCCUUUGUUGUGAUUUCUAAUUAUCUACUCAUGGUUGUAUAACAAAUGGACUAAAUCAUAUAAAAAUUUUACUUAAUCAAUGCUGUGACUUAAUCAAUUUCAACCAUAGGAGCCGGUUCUUGCUAAAAGAAAGAAUGACUGCUUAUGAAUACAUCAAUAACUGCACCAUGAAAGAGUGUCUAUGAUAAGCAUAUACUCUGUUGAAAUGCUAAUGAUUAAAUGGUUACUAUCUAGAGUAGGAUUGGUAACUAAAAUUCACCUUAACAUUUUGCUUUUUAUUUUUUAAAUGCCUUGAUCAUAAAGAUAGCAUCAUUCAAUCUCUACCUUCUCCUUUUCUUUCUUUUGGUGAAUAUUCUACUUAGGAGAUUCAGAAUCCAUAUGUUGGUGCCUUGAAAAUUUAUGUGAUUUCUUCUUGUUUCUAAUUCAUGAAAUAUUACUUAAUUCAUUUAAUUGAAUUUUCUCUGAGUAUUGAUAUUUCUUUGAAAACUUUUUUGAAAGGUUUCUGUGCUUUAGAUCAUAUUCAGAUUACAAAUGCAUGUAGCUAGACAGGCUUUUUUAUCCCCUUCAUUUAUUGUUUCCUGGAACUCUUUUGACUUGGAGCAAUUCAAUUACUUGACUGAUAAGAUGUAAAUUUGCAGCUCUGUUUCAGCCGCCAAUUCU